rnacentral:rRNA from 1 species
UUCCGGUUGAUCCUGCCGGAGGCUACCGCUAUUGGAGUUCGAUUAAGCCAUGCGAGUCGCGAGAAAUUAGAUUCUCGGCGUACCGCUCAGUAACACGUGGGUAACCUGCCCUAUGCUGGAUAAUAACCUCGGGAAACUGAGAAUAAUGAUCCAUAGUUCACUACGCCUGGAACGGUGAGUGGAUGAAAGCCCCGGCGGCAUAGGAUGGGCCUGCGGCGUAUCAGGUUGUAGGGGGUGUAACGUACCCUCUAGCCCUCUACGCGUACGGGUGUUGGGAGACAUAGCCCGGAGAUGGAUUCUGAGACACGAAUCCAGACCCUACGGGGUGCAGCAGGCGCGAAAACUUGGCAAUGCGAGAAAUCGUGACCAGGGAACUCCAAGUGCAUCGGGUAAGACCGGUGCUUUUCUUGACUCUAAAUAGGUCUUGGAAUAAGGGGUGGGUAAGGACGGUGCCAGCCGCCGCGGUAAUACCGGCGCCUCAAGUGGUAGCCGCUUUUAUUGGGCCUAAAACGUCCGUAGCCGGUCUGAUACAUUCGUGGGUAAAUCAACCAGCUCAACUGGUUGAAUUCUGCGAGGACGGUCAGACUUGGGACCGGGAGAGGUGUGGGGUACGCUCAGGGUAGGGGUAAAAUCCUGUCAUCCUGAGCGGACCACCUGUUGCGAAGGCGCCACACUAGAACGGAUCCGACGGUCAGGGACGAAGCCUAGGGGCACGAACCGGAUUAGAUACCCGGGUAGUCCUAGGUGUAAACGCUGUGGACUUGAUGUUGGGGGUGCUCCGAGCACUCUCAGUGUCGAAGCGAAGGUGAUAAGUCCACUGCCUGGGAAGUACGGUCGCAAGGCUGAAACUUAAAGGAAUUGGCGGGGGAGCACCGCAACCUGAGGAUUGUGCGGUUUAAUUGGAUUCAACGCCGGA